AAUAGAUAACGCCGUUGACUUUUUCUUACAUGUUUGACCGUUCGUCUUAUUCAAAAAAUUUACGUAAUUAUAAUUUAUUUUAUUAUGGGUUGUUUUAUCACUCAUAGUACUUUAAGUGUGAUUUAUAUCUUAUACAUUUGCAUAAAAUUUUUUAAUAAGACGAAUGGUCAAACAUGUGAGAAAAAGUUAACGGCGUCAUCUAUU
rnacentral:pre_miRNA from 1 species